rnacentral:lncRNA from 1 species
UGGUGGUGUGUAAUAGUGGUAUAUAGAUGGUGGUAUGUAAUAGUGGUAUAUAGAUAGUGGUGUGUAAUAGUGGUAUAUAGAUGGUGGUGUGUAAUAGUGGUAUAUAGAUGGUGGUGUGUAAUAGUGGUAUAUAGAUGGUGGUGUGUAAUAGUGGUAUAUAGAUGGUGGUGUGUAAUAGUGGUAUAUAGAUGGUGGUGUGUAAUAGUGGUAUAUAGAUGGUGUGUAAUAGUGGUAUAUAGGUGGUGGUGUGUAAUAGUGGUAUAUAGAUGGUGGUGUGUAAUAGUGGUAUAUAGAUGGUGGUGGUGUGUAAUAGUGGUAUAUAGAUGAUGGUGGUGUGUAAUAGUGGUAUAUAGAUGGUGGUGUGUAAUAGUGGUAUAUAGUUGGUGGUGUGUAAUAGUGGUAUAUAGAUGGUGGUGGUGUGUAAUAGUGGUAUAUAGAUGGUGGUGUGUAAUAGUG